ensembl:lncRNA
CUGCUCACACACGCCUAUCACCUCUUCCUGCCUGGUCGGGUUUUCUCUGCCUUUUGAAACCAUCAUUUAGGCUAUUCUGUAGCAAGGCUUUGAACUCUGGUAGCAAGCCACUAAAUGGAAGAAUUGCAUUUUGGGAGUUAAGGGUGCGGUUCAUGGUUCUAUCUACGGUGACAGAACCAAUCAAUACAACAAAGGGACAACAACUACCAUGGCACAUCACCGGACAGAACCACACAGAACAUGUUACAACCAGUCAGUGUGAUACAAUAUUAUAACAUUGAUUGGCAGGGUUCAGUCUACACAAAAAACAACAGGCUUAUUUUAUCCUGUAAAAUGUUUUUGCUCAAAGUUUAACUUUAAUGCAUAUAUUUCUAGUUUGGGUG